UGGGGAAUAUUGCACAAUGGGCGCAAGCCUGAUGCAGCCAUGCCGCGUGUGUGAAGAAGGCCUUCGGGUUGUAAAGCACUUUCAGCGGGGUGGAAGGCGAUAAGGUUAAUAACCUCAUCGAUUGACGUUACCCGCAGAAGAAGCACCGGCUAACUCCGUGCCAGCAGACGCGGUAAUACGGAGGGUGCAAGCGUUAAUCGGAAUUACUGGGCGUAAAGCGCACGCAGGCGGUCUGUCAAGUCGGAUGUGAAAUCCCCGGGCUCAACCUGGGAACUGCAUUCGAAACUGGCAGGCUAGAGUCUUGUAGAGGGGGGUAGAAUUCCAGGUGUAGCGGUUAAAUGCGUAGAGAUCUGGAGGAAUACCGGUGGCGAAGGCGGCCCCCUGGACAAAGACUGACGCUCAGGUGCGAAAGCGUGGGGAGCAAACAGG
rnacentral:rRNA from 1 species